UUUGGUCCUGACCUUGAGAUCAGUUAUUACUUAAUAUACACAUGCAAGUAUCCGCCCCCCUGUGAGAACGCCCUUAAACCCCUUUUAGGGACAAGGAGCUGGUAUCAGGCACGAUAAUCUGCCCAAAACACCUAGCUAUGCCACACCCACAAGGGAACUCAGCAGUGAUUAACAUUGAGCAUAAGCGCAAGCUUGACUCAGUUAAAGUAAGUCCAGAGCCGGCUAAUCUGGUGCCAGCCGCCGCGGUUACACCACGUGGCUCAAAUUGACCCCCUUCCGGCGUAAAGCGUGAUUAAAGUUCUUCCCUUCUAGAGUUAAACUAAAACUGAGCUGUGACACGCCUGUUUACUAAGAAAUCCUAAAACGAAAGUUACUCUAACAUAAUCAACUUGAACUCACGACAGCUGGGAAACAAACUGGGAUUAGAUACCCCACUAUGCCCAGCCGUAAACUCUUAAUUACAUUCUAAAUCGCCAGGGAACUACAAGCCAAGCUUAAAACCCAAAGGACUUGACGGUACCCCAUAUCCCCCUAGAGGAGCCUGUCCUAUAAUCGAUAAUCCACGUUUAACCUCACCAUUUUUAGUUAAUCAGCCUGUAUACCUCCGUCGUCAGCUUACCACGUGAGCGCAAAUUAGUGAGCCUAAUGUUAUUUCACCAACACGUCAGGUCAAGGUGCAGCAUAUGAAAUGGAAAGAGAUGGGCUACACUUUCUAUUUUAGAAAAAACGAAAAACUACUUAUGAAAACUAGUUGGAAGGCGGAUUUAGCAGUAAAAAGGAAUCAUAAUAUCCAUUUUAACCCGGCACUGGGGUGUGUACACACCGCCCGUCACCCUCUUCAAAGCUUCUAACAAAGUGCCUAACAAACUAAAGCACAACAGAAGAGGCAAGUCGUAACAUGGUAAGUAUACCGGAAGGUGUGCUUGGAAA
rnacentral:ncRNA from 1 species